rfam:Brassica napus, WGS project CCCW01000000 data, contig: 1460
UUCCCCGUAGCUCAGUUGGUUAGAGCGUUGGUCUUAUGAGCCGAAGGUCGCGGGUUCGAGCUCGCCGGGGAAA